rnacentral:lncRNA from 1 species
GAUCUAGUUACCUGGAGAUUGCUCACUCAUCACUUCUGCGGCUGCUUCUGUGGUUCUCUGGGGCCUCUCCACACCUGCCAGGCUGGCUGCUCUUCAUGGCUGGUGCUGCCAUGGGCCAACCCCAGGAUGGCAUGCUUUGACCCUCAGAAUUCCCGUCUAAGAAGUGCUAUCAGAGCAUGUGUGUAUGCUCUCACUGCGGCAGCCAGCAGAGGUGGGUUCCGUCCCAGCCGACUCAUCUACCACGCUUCCUGCAAGAUGGAUUCAACUCAGCAUAUUUGCAAUCACUGGCCAAAGACCAAGGAGACAGCCCUGGGGAUUUCUUCCUGGGACACUUCUCAAGGAAAACUCAGUUCCUUAGAUAGAACAGCAGAUUUAUUUUGAACCAACUGUCAGCUAUAAUUGAACUAGGAGACUACCCUUUUUCCUGUAAUUUAGAGUAUUUAAAAGAAAUACACAAUAAUAACUACAUCCAACACUUACGUAGCACUUACUGGCCACCACUAUUCUGACUAUUUUACUUUUAUUAACUCAUUUAAUCUUAACAACCCUAUGAAGCCCAUACUGCUAUUAUCGUCAUUCUCAUUUAACAGAUAAGGAAACUGAAGGACAAUGAUGUUAAAUAACUUGUCCAAGACUACACAGCAAGUAAGAAGCAGAGCCUGAGAUCGAGCCUAGGCAGUCUGGCUCCAGUUUGUGCCUUUAUUUCCCUGUGCCACCAUCUACAAGUUAAGAAGUGCCUUUUUAAUUUUUGGCCAAUGUUUUUGAUGGGACUGCAAGUAUGUAGAAUUUAAUGACUAUUUUAUUUAAUAAAAUUAUGUAUAAUACUUGA